ensembl:lncRNA
UAUAUAUAUAUAUAUAUAUAUAUAUAUAUAUAUAUAUACACACACUUGUUAAACUUUGCUAUUAAGUACAUUCUGCCUUACGAAAUGCGAAUAACAUACUUAUGUUAAAAGUCCCAUCUUUGUUACAUUUAUCAGGAAAAAUUGCCGGUAAAAGCCAGCUGUGGGACUGUUUGUAUUAAAUUUGGAUAACUGUAGACCUGCUCUUGUUCUGAAAAAGGACCUUAUAGAAUUAAGCAGUUUUACUAUUAGAUUGGUUUCAUUCACAUUUAAUUAUUCUCAAUAGUUAACUUUGGUAGCCUUAGUUAAUAGUUAAAAAAAUAUGUGUUUUUUUGAUUAGAGGAACACGAGUUUACAUUUUAGUUUAAACUUAUACAUAUGCAUUGUAUUGUCAAAGUUAAAACCGAAAACGGUGGAUAUUUGCAUAUUUCAUGAGUUUUUCUGGCUGCGUGAUGGUCUGCCUGUCUUAACCAAUCAAAUUUUGCUGUUGGUCUCGUAACCAGGUUUCAAAACACCACAGCAUGUCAGAAAUAGAUGCAAGUUGCUGGUCUCACCCUUAUGUGGCGAGAUGUAUUUUGUGAAUGACCUCUGAACUGGCUUUCCUGUCAGUGUGGACGGUUUUGGCAUCUGGUGACCCCAUUUGUUCUGUGCAUGAUUCAGCUGCUGCUGUCUGUUCUAAUUGAAGGGACGAACAUUGCAUAUUCACCACCAUGGAAAUGCAAUCCAAUAGCAAGAAUAAAUACCACACUUUCACACACUAGACACUAGCAUUUGUCAAAAAUGGCUCAAGCUAUGAAAAUGUGGAGGGAAAAAAUUACAGGACCAAUUUGUGGUGUUUGCACCAAUGCACUGGUCACUAGAUUGAAGAUGUGCACUAUCCAAGGACUGUGUAAGUUGUAAUUUCUGUAUCACCACAAAAUGUGCUGUUGUUAUUGACGUCAAAGUACUGUCAGAAUGCAGAGUAUACCAACUAUGCAUGAUAUGUAAUGUGUGUUCCUCGCCAAGACUUCACACACAAUACAUGCUCAUGAAAAUGAUCAACACACUCACUUUACUAUAAACAUUGUCAUGACUCCAUUUGGACACAACACUAAAACACUUGGUGUCUGCCAGAACAUUGUGAUUAAUAAAAUGUAGCACAUAAUGUUUAUAUGAUACUAAAGGGACAUUUUCACUGUGGAAUUCUCAUUCCAUGUGUGUGAUGUUUUGGAGUGCAAGUCAGGCUUCGAUUUGCCUCUAAGGUAAUCUUAAAAUCUGCCUCGUAAUAAAAUCUCAUGCAGAAGUCUGUGGUGUGUGUUUUAUGGGGUUAUUAAAAUAUGCAUGAAAUGAAAGGAAACUUUAAAACUGUUUCUUUCAAAACAAAUUUAAGAUCAUGAGAAUACUGUCACAUCAUUAAAUCA